rnacentral:rRNA from 1 species
GACGAACGCUGGCGGCGUGCCUAAUACAUGCAAGUAGAACGCUGAAGGAGGAGCUUGCUCUUCUGGAUGAGUUGCGAACGGGUGAGUAACGCGUAGGUAACCUGCCUGGUAGUGGGGGAUAACUAUUGGAAACGAUAGCUAAUACCGCAUAAUAACAGUUGUUGCAUGACAACUGUUUGAAAGGUGCAAUUGCAUCACUACCAGAUGGACCUGCGUUGUAUUAGCUAGUUGGUGGGGUAACGGCUCACCAAGGCGACGAUACAUAGCCGACCUGAGAGGGGGAUCGGCCACCCUGGGACUGAGACACGGCCCAGACUCCUACGGGAGGCAGCAGUAGGGAAUCUUCGGCAAUGGACGAAAGUCUGACCGAGCAACGCCGCGUGAGUGAAGAAGGUUUUCGGAUCGUAAAGCUCUGUUGUAAGAGAAGAACGAGUGUGAGAGUGGAAAGUUCACACUGUGACGGUAUCUUACCAGAAAGGGACGGCUAACUACGUG